GGGGGCAAUGGGGGAGGGGAGGGCACAGAGGAGUCUCAGACUGUAGCCUGCACCCACAGCCACGGGCACCCUAGCUAACGGUCAAUAAGCAACUGGAUUUUUAGCUGAAGUCUUGUGUCUGCUCUCAAAAGGAGGAAGCGGUUCCUUGGACAGUCAGUGUGUGUCACAAGAGUGUAAACUGCCUACUCAGCAUUAACUCUCUCCUUGUUCUUCGUGUUCACAUUCCUAAUUUUGUUUGAGGCAGCAAUAGCACAACAACAAACAGGCGCAUUCCAGUACCGGGAAGGUGCUAUUCAGUGGUACAGGACUCCAAGGGGCGGCUCAGUAAAGCAGAGGUUACUGGUGAAACCAGGAUUUGGUCUGAGUGUUAUCUUAUGCCGAAGCCAGUGUCCUUUCCAUCCCGCUGUGAAGACUGCAUAAUGUACACAAAGUGCUUUGCAUGGCGUCUGAUGUGGAGAAGGGCUCAGUGCACCGCGGCUGUAACGAGAAUACGCUUUCCCUGGUUUUGGCUGAGAAGUAUGAUUUCCAUGGAGCAGGAGACGCUGCACAGCAGGACUAAGUUGCAUUUAAUUCAUGCCAUGAAGUUUGCCUUCUUCGGCUAGAGUGUUUGUAAAGCCACAAGGGGGCUGUGAAUACUCACGGACUUAUCUGGAAUAUCAUCGACUCGUCCAAAAUGUGUUUCUUUCCUUUGCCUUUUUAAUUCUCUUCCCCUUCUUUCCUUUCCUUCUCUCCCAGUCAAAGGAUGCAGAGUUUUAACUCUCAGCUCAAAAAAACCAAACAUGAAGUGGGAGAGAAAAGCAUUUAACUAGAGUGUCAAAUCAGUGGAAAAGAACAAUAAAGAGAUAUGAUAUUCUUCUUUGCUUUCCUGAAUGAUACUUUAAGAGAUAUCUCUUUAUAAAAUUUCAAAAACCUGAACCUGGAAAUAGACCUAAGCAACCGCACGCCAGAAUCCCACCAUCUUAAUGUGUUUUAGCCAACCCUCUUCCAAUCUUUCCCCAUAUGCCUUUUUUUGAAACGUAGAUGCAAAAUGGAAGAUAGAUAUCUUUGUACGUUUUCUUGUAGCAUGUUGCUAAAUUAAAAAUAGAUAUACCAAAGCCAUGAAAAGACAUGGAGUAAGCUUAAAUGAAGAUUGCCAAGUGAAAGAAGCCAGUCUGAAAAGGCUUCAUGCCGUAUGAUUCCAAUUAUAUGGCGCUCUGGCAAACGCAAAACUAUGCAGACAGUCAAAUCACAGGAAUUUUUUCUUUCACAGGAUCGUGGACACAGACGUUUGUGACAUUUGUGAUCCG